rnacentral:misc_RNA from 1 species
CUUAAAGCUUUUGGAAGGUUUAUGUGCUUCUUGUGGUGCGGUGACACUGAUGGCCGUCAUGAAUUAUCUGCUGGUUUCUCUUAUUUUGUUUUUCAAAAGUUUAACUUUUGUUACCUCGGAGAACACGAACCCUACUGAAAACCGAUUAUUGGGACUUUACCAAGGAGACAUCCUUCUCCGCAAUGGAACGAGUUAUUCACUUGACAGAAAUGCUGUAACUGCAGCAAAUGCUAGAUGGCCAAAUGGAGUGGUAUACUACACCUUGGAUGACAUUUACACGGAAAGUGAUAAAGAAGUUAUACGUUCAGCGAUUGAAGAAUUCGAGAAACAAACCUGCAUCAAAUGGGUGGAGAGAACAGACGAAGACGAUUAUGUGGAAAUCUAUAAUGAACAAGGGUGCUUUUCUGAACUCGGCCGAAUGGGUGGUGUCCAAUCGAUGUCAUUAGAAUCACCUAGCUGCAUGAAGAAAGGCGUAAUUAUGCACGAAAUGAUGCAUGCAUUGGGUUUCUUACACGAGCAAUCUCGUCCUGACAGGGACGACUACAUCCAAGUUCUUUGGGAUAAUAUAAUUCGAGAUAUUCGUUGUUUGGACUUACUUUAAAGAUCUGUAAAGAAUGGAAUGCAUUGAAUACAGGCAGACCUCCGUUAAUUAACUUUCAUUGAUAUCAAUUCAUCAAAAAAGGAAUGGAGCCUAAUUUUCAAAAAUUAUCUCCUUUGGAACUGAAUGAUCUCGGUCUGGAUUACGACUAUCGUUCGAUCAUGCAUUACACGGCUCAUAUGUUCGCUGUUGAUAGGUCGCAUCCUACAAUAGAGCCUGU